rnacentral:misc_RNA from 1 species
UUAAGUAUUAAUUUUACCACAGAAUGGCGCAAAGUAAUGUCAGAGAUAGUCCUGAAGGAAGUGAACCAAGUGCCCCACCACGAUCUGAAUUGUACUCCGAGCCACCUGGUAAUCCAGAUGUCAGUACCACGGUUGCCGUCCCACCUGUGUAUCCAAGACAAACCAUUAUAACAGUGCAACCUCAAGAUCAGAUUAAUACCAAUGGAUUAUUUAGGAUCCCAGUUCCAGUGAACACUACACAAUGGGUCUCCACACCACGAAAUCAGUUGAAUGCCCUCAUUGGAACGGACUUUUUGAAUGGAAUCGAACUAUUAGAAAUUCAACAGACAGUACAACUCAGCACCUUACUUGACCGAAGAAAUCCUGGAAAUCAAUAUAAAGUCAAAGUUCCAAGGGCUGAGACAAUAUUCUUAGCUACAGAAACAUCUACCGCAUGCCAACGUGAUAUCUUGGGUUCAUCGAAAGGUUUCGUUUUGAGUCUAAAAGAUCCAACAGGACAGAUUGCAUUCAAAUUUUCAAAAGAUGUGAGCUGGGGUUGUUUGCCAGGAUUUUUACACAAAAUGACGGUCAACUGUUCAGAGCCUAUCGGCACUAUAGAGCAGAAUUUUACAUUUAUUGGACCCAGUUUUACAGUAUAUGACUAUGUACGGAACCCAUUAUGCAGAAUAUAUGGACCAAAUAUGUUUUGUUGUUGCAUAACACAGGAUACCCAGUUCCAGAUAUUAUCAGUUGAUGGAACCCAUCAGAUCGCUUCACUGAUGCAUCAGUGGGAUCAUCUGCAACACGUUUAUACAAUAACAUUGACGGUGCCAUCAGAUACAGACGUAAAACUUAAAGGCCUCCUGUUGGGUGCUGCGUUCCUCAUGGAAUACUUGUACUUUGAACGCCUGAGGAGGAAAUGAUGUGGAUCAAUAUAUGACUGAUAUAUGAUGAAAAAGGGAUGCGCAUGCAACUUUUUAAGCUCCGAACUAUUCUUUGUGUGAUAGUGCUAAGCAUUGCCUGCACGUUCCCACUUGUGAAACUGAAUAAAAAUUCAUAAGUAGUUUUCGACUGUUUCAGUAUUUUAUGACUUCACUUGCAUAUUGAAAAAAAGUUUAUUUGCCUAUUCUAAAGCCGCAAACAUUUCGAUUCUCAAAUGUACCAACCAUUGAAUUUGGGUACGCACAUAACUCGGAAGAAGCCUGUCAAGCAUAAUUAUUAUGGUCAGGAGGACGAAAUAACUGGAUUGAGUGAAGGGAUAGGUUCGAUAAUCUACAACACAGAUGAUCACAUACAGUACUAUCAGGGAAAACUAAUAUGGAAUAAUAUGCAUGGCUAUGGAGAAUACAAGUACGUUAUGCAGUCUUAUUGGUAACAGUACAUGCCAAUCAGAGUAUCCUUCUCGAUGACUAUUAAUAACUGCAACACUUGGCAAAGUGUAAAAUUAAUUAUUAAGCAAUAAUUAAUUAUUCUCUCAAAACAACAGGUGGCAGCCAUCAGGAUUCAAAUACGAAGGCCAAUUUUAUGCAAAUACAAAGGAGGGUUACGGACGGUGUUCAUAUCCAUCUGGAGCAUACUUUGAAGUAUAAUUACACAAAAUUAUAGUUCUUGCAUAUCUUACAAUUAAGCUUGAGUAUGAUCUUAAAGCAUAACUUACGCACACAUGUUUCAGUCUUGUGUCAUGAGUGUUGUCUGCAAUUAUUCUAAAAUGUGGCUUAAAAACAUAGGAUUUCUGAAUCGUCAGAUGGCAAAUGUGAUUUGCAUAUUAUUCUGCAGGGAUUAUACCGAAACGAUUAUAGAUUUGGUCCAGGCAUUUUUACUGAUACAACGGGCUAUCAAAAUGUUGGUAUUUGGCUGACGUCGAAGCUAAUUCGUUUGUCCAGAACUAUUGAACAUAAUCAUUCCAUACCUCGAUUGGCAGUCACACAGGAAGAUCAAAUUCGAUUAUUGCAAUUCCGAACAAUCAUUCACUUACAAAAAGUAAUAUUUGAUGGUUUAUUGGUAAAUAUUAUCUUUAGGCAUUGUAAGGAACGUUAUUCGCUCACAGGAUGAAAUGAAACAUGUAGCAAAAGAUUUACUAGAAUCACUGAUUUAUUCACGAAAUUACGAUAACAGUCUAUUAGCUAGAGCUGAGGAAUUAUGUAAUCCUUGGUCUAGGGACAAAAGAGCAGCAUCAUUCCAUGAACUGAGGUAUGAACAAUUCUUUAAACAAAGUACCCCUGUGUCCAAAUUUACAGAAGCAGAGAAGUAAUACGUUACUUUUACAAGUUUGACAGCGCGUCAAAACAAGUACAUAAUUUUGCAGAAUGUUGAGAACUAUAAAGUAAUCAUACAUUUUAGAUAAAUUAUUCAUCUAGGUACAAUGAAACCUUCUUUGGCCACAAAUAUGAUCCGCUUACAAUAGAUGUUCUUGUGAUAGACGAAAGAGUGGAGCAAAAAAUUGGUAUGAAAUAGAUGAUAUAUAAACUUAUCAUUUAUUUAUGUUACAACAAGAGCGAAACAAUAUGUAUAGAUAAUAUUGAUCCUGGUUUUCAAACGAACAAGAAAAAUUUGUACGCCUUUGUAAUAGUCCCUGUUCUAAACAACAGAAAGAAUUAAAAAUGAAACUUUGCCAAACGAAGUUGAAGUAAAACAUGAAGAAUCAAACAUCAAUGCCGACUUAUUGGAAAAUGGUGCAAUGCCCAAGUAUGCAACAGAAGAAUCAAGAACAGGACCCUCGAAUGACGAAAAUCAGGAAGAGAAAGUAGAGCUUGAUUAUUGUGGGAUCAAACAAAUUGAUCCAGAAAAUCUGAGCAAAGAACUUCUAAUAGACAGUCAUGAAAAACAGUGGCAUAUAUUUCAAAGAACUGCUAUAUCUAUACCACAUAAUGUAGUGAGUAUCUGAUCCUCGAUACAUUAUUGUCAAUUGAUUGGAUGAGUGGAUUAAACUUAACAAAACAUGCAGAGAAUACAUACCGAACUGGAAAAAAAAUAGAGUUUCUGUAAUGUCUACCUACGCUUUGCAAUGCACAAUGUGGCGCUAGUAUUUGAACAAAUAAAUUAAUUUAACAAUUUUAUUGUUCGUCAAAGACGAAAAAUGCCAAUCUAAAUUGCUGGAGUGAAGAAAGCCCACCAACUCCAGUUGAAACAGAAGCCCAUGAAGAGGAAUUCGAUGAUUUUGGAAUAAAAUUGAUCAAAAAUAAUCAGCACACAAAAAAAGUAGUUGUCACUGACCUGUUGGCUUGGAAUAAUAGUCCAAUCUUUAUAGAGAUUCUCAAGCAUGUUUUUAAACAUCGCAAUUUUGAAGCAAGUAGUGAAUAUCAAUGAGUGAAAAAUCAACUGGGUUCACAGUAAAUUUUUGUACAAUAAUGAAAUUAUUGCAGAAGGAAAUAAGCUUUGAUAUCAGUAAAAUUUUGGCUGGUAGACGCAGUUCAUUUCAACAAGAAGGAGGUCAUGAAAAAGCUGCUUUAGAGUUACUUAGGGCAUGCUCCAUGGGUUUGCAAAAUACCAUCAUGAGAUUAAUUGCAAGUGGAAAAGUCCAUGCAGAUUGUGCUGAUAGCAGAGGAAAUACUGGCUUGUUGUUCGCAGUUGCAAGGUAAUAAUACACCGAAUAUUUGCAGUACUUAAUACAUCAGACACGUUUGAAAGUUUUGACACUGCAUAUAAAUUCAAUAAUAAAACGGCCCAAAAAUGAGUAAAAAAAAUAAUUGAACAAGAUUUGACAAAUUGCUGAAUUUAUAUAACUCAAUAUCGCAUACUGAUAUUCGAGAAAAUAUAUAUUUUAUUAGUGACAAACUGGAAGCGAUAGAUACUUUAUUGAAUCUUGGUGCUAAUGUUGAUGCCUUAAAUGACGAAUGUCUAACUCCGCUUUCCUUGUGCGUAUUGCGAUUACUAGCACUGGUACAUGAUGUAUCUAACUGGUCAAAAGCCUUUUUAUCAAACAAAAUUAUUGAUAAAUCAAUGUUUGAUAACGAGUCAUCAUUCGCAAACUGUCAACAAUGGCAUGGACGAAUAAGUUACGAAUCACUAGUGCGACAUGUAUGUGUGAAAAUUUUAUUUCAUACGUUUUUAAUGAUAAAUAAAACGAUUGAGUAUGAGAGAUAUGCAAGGAGAUGUGUAAAGUGAUUCUUUACAGUCUGAUGGUGGAGAGAGCCCAAAUAUACAAGACAAUUAUGCUGCAGAGGAAAUAUAUAAAAGUGAUUAUUACAAAUUAUCAAUCAAACAUUAGAACAAAGUACUUUCAGGGGCCUAAGCCAUGUGAUGCAUAGAACGUUGUGAUUACAGAUGGAGUGCGAGAACAAAAAUACAUUUUUGAUAUGUCGCCCAUAAUAAUCAGAACAUCUCUUCCUCAGAGAAUAAUUAAAAAGGUUCAUAAUAAUGUAUUGAAAAUCACAACUAAACGAGAUAUGAAAAAAAAAGAUACAAGCUCUGCAAGUGAGGAGUUACCAAAUGGUUUGAAAAGCAUUCAAGAUACCAAUAAUCAUGCAUUUUCUGAAAAGUUAGUUGAUAAGUUUCAUACCAUAUGUUUCAUGAAAUUGUUCUCUUCUUGAGUAAAGCAUUAGUUAUUUAUUCCAAGAUUGUGAUCAUGGCUACAAUACCUAACUAAACUUCUCCUAGAAAAGCAAGAGUGAAUGCCACCAUAAUCAAGCUGCUAAGACGAGGCGCUGAUCCAAACUUUGCACAGGUGCCUUACCCCAUUUUGAUAAUGUCCAUUUUUACCAAAACUCCAUGGCUUGUCUCAGAACUAUUAGAACGUGGGGCCGAUCCAAAUAUCACCUUAUCCAAACAAGUAGGCUGAAUGACAUACAUUCAAAUGUUACUAUACAAUCGGUUCGUUUUUUCAUUACAAAAUGUUCAUUAGGAUCACUAUUUUACACCACUGCUGAUUCUAACGGUCUUACAACCGUGUCAUGAAAAUUCUCUUAUAGCCAAGACGUUACUGAAAGCCAAGGCAAACCCAAGUACAAGAGCAGAUCCUGAUUACAGGUGAUAGGUUGCAAAUAAUCUUCAAGAUUCUUCAAAUGCUAAUGUUUAUGCAUUACAGAUCAGAUUUCAGGGAACGUUUAUCGCGAAACAGGUCUUCCAACUAUCUUGAUGAUUCGCAAGGUGCUACUGCUUUACAUCUUUUAGCAUUAAGACCAGAUUUUGAUACAGAUGCAAAUGACGUAAGACAAAAAUCAUGAGAUGGCUUUUGGAGAUACAAUUUCAGUUGAUUGACGUAAAAGUUCUCACUGUUUUCAUGAUAGUAUUUAGGAAAACUUAUCGAAGUAAUAUAUCGAGAUGGUUGUAUUAAAAGCAGUGAUUUGUACCAAGGGCAUUCCCCAUUAUCUUUGGCAAUAUUGGAAGGUAAAUAAUUUCAAGGAACUUAUCAUAACGACAGUCGUAAUUAGAAAAUAAUAGCAUACGGAAACCCUUCCAGUAUAAAUCUAAUGAACAAUACAAAUACUUGGAUCGUAGGUAACUUGAAUGCUACAAAAGCAAUUCUAAAAACUAGAUGUGUUGACGUCAAUGAAGAAUUAGGUGCAGAUUUGGGUAACGCAAUGUUCAUGCUAGAGUCACGUAUGCUGCAAGAACUAUUGCCUCCAGAUGCCUUGCAAGAAUUUGUGAGCCAAAAUUCACUCCUACUAUUGUCUAUCAAUUAUUCAUACAAUUACUUAUUUUUAGCGUGAACUACUGCUGGAAUAUGGUGGUUGUCCCUUUACGUCUGUCAAAGUGAGAAAUCAAACAAAUAUUACAUACAUAACAGGCCUUUAAUAUAAUCGAAGUUAAAAAACUAUGAUUCUCUUUUAUCGAAUAUUAUUGAAGUCUUCGUCACAAUUCAGGUACAGGCAGAAGAGUAUAAUCUGAUUGAAUACGGAAGAACUGAAUUGAUGAAAGUAUCCAAUCUCUCGAAAAGCACAAUAGCGGCGCAAGGAAAAAACAGGAAGAAGAUUGUAAAGGAAACUAAAAUGGCUAAAUCUUCGAAACCACCUGACAAGACAAAUUUUUCCAAGGGCAUGGAUUGUAUUACACGCAUUGCUAAAGAUAAAUUGAUCCGAAGAAUAAAAGCAAAUUUUAUCAUGGACUUGAUGAAUUCUCCAAUAACGCUGUAAUAGCCCUAUACUAUAAUUCCAAAGGGCAGACUGUAACAAAUUUAUUGAGUACACAAUAAUUUUGCCCUUAUCUUUUGAAUAAAUGAUUCGCAGCCUUUCUCUCGACAAACGAUCAACCAUUCUUAAAAACCCAUUGUUUAAACUCGCUCUAUCUUGGAUGACCGCAGAGGAUCUAGCUGUCGUUAUGAAGGCUAUGAACUAUCAUCGUAGUGAAGUUAGAGGACUAGUGGGUCUAUUUAUAAUGGCAUGCAUUUUGAUCGAUCGUAAAACGUUAAGCAAAGCAGAUACAGUGAGAGAUCACAACUACUAAUUAUCAUUAUUUUAUGAGAACAAUGUAAAUAAUAUGCUAAAUUUCAUAGCUGAUACAAGAUGAAACAGAACGAAUUAUGAAAAAAGUAAUGCCUCUGGUAACAGAAAAACAGCAAACGCAACAAGUAACAAAUUUCAAAGUGAACAGAAGGGCCAACAGGAGAGAGACCAAGACUUUUGAACCAGUAGUUGCACACACACCAGAAUCAGAUCCUGAUGUAUAGUAGUAUCAAUUGCAUUGGAAAAUAAGUCAAAUAUUAUCGCUUUUUCUCAAUUUCCAUUCACAAUACAUUCUAAAACGACUUCAUUCAUAGGGUAAUAAGUUCAGAGUAUGUUUUGACUGCCUCUCUAUUCAUGGAAAAGUUUUACUAGCAUGUCCUAAAUGCCAUCACGUUUAUUUCUGCUCGCAAGAAUGUAACGAAAAGAAUGCUACGGGAAAUGAGAACCAACAUCAGUGUCCAGGUCAAUAAUGUUCGAUUACAGAGACUCAAGGUCUAUCAUCGUCAAACAAAAAGGCUAUUUAUUUGAAAUAACUAAUUCCCUGUAAAUUCCAUAGUUUUCUACCAGGAAGAAUUGCACAGACUGGAACAAACUGCCACAACUCUUGGCAUCGACCCAACUAUUUAUAUGGAG